GCCGCCGCCGCCCGCUUGUAGGCAGAGCGGCGGGAGGAGUUGCUGGUCGUCGCGUUCGUGGCGGUGGCAUCGGUAGGCGGCCGAGCAGAGAAGGAGGUGCGCAGGCUGGCCUGACGUCCAUCACGGGAUGCAGAUCGGCCUGGGCACCAUCUCCUCCUAGAUUGUUGCCGUCUACCGGGAUGAUGGCGAUGUUGGCGGAUGCGAUCUGCGGCCUGGCGGAGAAGAUUGUGCGCCCUCUCGUAUCGCUCCUCUCGUUUUUUUUGCCCCUGGUCAAACAGCAUGAUCGGCGGCGGCUAAAGCACGUGAUGGCCUGAGGCUGUGCAAGGCCGGCGUCUACAUGCUAUUGCCUCAGGUCGCCCACCUGAAACACGGUAACUUUCCGCUCUCCUUCCAUCUGACCCGCUGUCUGAUUCCAUGUAUUGCCCCAGCUCUCUUGAGAAUAACUAUUUGGUCUCCCGGUGGUACAAAGACGUGUGGUACAAUUUUGAGGAAUAAGAAAUCACUCAAGUUCUACACUUCUCCGAUGGUUGGUACCAAAAUGGCAAUGGGACAGCUUAAUCGACCAAGUAAUCAUGGUUUAUGGUGGAACUACUAAGAUAAUGUUACCACUGUUUUCUUGCUGUUAAAUGUACCGAUUACUGAUGCAGAAUGCUCUCUGCUAUGUAAUAUGUUAGAUUAAUCUGUGGAUGUGACUUAGAGCUAUGAUAAACUGAAUUGUUUCUGUCACUUAUAAAUGGCUCUUUGUAUAAAUAACAAUUUGAUGGAGCUAUUUGUGCUACAAACACAGCUUAGUGUAGCUUAAUAUGUGUGCUUACAGGCUUAUCAAUUUAAUUGUAGCCUUGGACUUUGAACCUGCUAGCCACUUUCAUAACCUGUUAAAUGUUUGUUGGUUUAGUGUCAUUUACAUGUUACUGAGAAUUUGCUGACUUUGAGAUUUUCUCAAUGCAGCCUAGACACUUUCAGGCCAAUUCAUAUGGCAUAAUAUUUGCUUUCCAGUUAAGUGUAGCACCUUCGAACACGCCUGAGCUGGGGUUGAAACGGCGGGGUCAAGGGGCUUCAUGACAGGGAUUGGUAUCAUCGCGUGCUGCCUAAGUUGGCACUGAAACAACAGGGUCAAGGGGCUCCAUGACAAGGAUGGGUGUGCCGCGCUUCAGCCGCCGUUGAAAUGGCGGGGGUCGAGGGGCUCCAU